GGCAACAUGGCCGAGUGGUCUAAGGCGCUGGAAUUAGGUAAUCUUCAAAUCCAAAUCCAGUCUUUCUAAGGCGUGGGUUCAAAUCCCACUGUUGUCA